rnacentral:lncRNA from 1 species
GCAGGAAGAAGAGAUGGAACUGGUAAAGGCAGCCUUGGCAGAAGCCCUUCGCCUGCUGCGGCUGCACGGCCCCACCACAACCUUGCAGGGCUCCGGCAUAUCAGCUCCAACAAGGAACAGCAUUACAGUCCCCCCAGGACUGCCACCUACGUGCAGCCCUUCCUUGGUGAGCCGAGGCACGCAAACAGAGGGAGGAUUGGAGAUGGAGCCAAUCUCUGGACCGCCUGGCCUGAGCAAUGGGCCUCCAGCUCUUCAGGGGGGCAGUGAAGAGCCUAGCGGGACCCAGUCUGAAGGAGGGUGCAGCAGCAGCAGUGGGGCAGGCUCCCCUGGACCCCCAGGAAUCCUCAGGCCUGUGCAGCCCCUGCAGCGUUCUGACACGCCCCGAAGAAAUUCCUCCUCCUCCUCCUCCCCCUCAGAGCGGCCCAGGCAGAAACUCUCCAGGAAGGCAGCUUCCUCAGCCAACCUGCUAUUGCGGUCAGGGAGCACAGAGAGGUGGGUAAGCCUUCUCUUCCCCGUCAAACUUGCUGUACCCCAGGCUUGACUUCUUGACUUUCUCCAUUCCUGGGUGGGGUGGGUGACCUCAUUACCCAACAGGAAGAAAGAAACAAAGCUUUCCUUGGGACUCCUGCAGUGUUCUGGGGCCUGUGCUAAAACUCUCCUCCAAGUCAUUAAGGCCCUGUAACAUCUUCGGUGAAUGGAUGGUCUCU